UCGUAACAAAAUGUGCACAUCUUGUGGUCUUGAAUUUGAAACCUCUCGCAUUCGUGCGGUCUGGGAGUCUGAAUAAACCCUGCUCCUGCUUCGUUCAAGAUCAUGUUUUCAUAUACACUAUAAAGUUACAGAAUGUCUUUUAACGAUUGCGCAAGCAGUCAUUAAACCUAUA
rnacentral:misc_RNA from 1 species